rnacentral:rRNA from 1 species
GACGAACGCUGGCGGCGUGCUUAACACAUGCAAGUCGAACGGAAAGGCCCUGCUUUUGUGGGGUGCUCGAGUGGCGAACGGGUGAGUAACACGUGAGUAACCUGCCCUUGACUUUGGUAUAACUUCAGGAAACUGGGGCUACUACCGGAUAGGAGCUCCUGCUGCAUGGUGGGGGUUGGAACGUUUCGGCGGUUGGGGAUGGACUCGCGGCUUAUCAGCUUGUUGGUGGGGUAGUGGCUUACCAAGGCUUUGACCGGUAGACGGCCUGAGAGGGUGACAGGCCACAUUGGGACUGAGAGACGGCCGAGACUGCUACGGGAGGCAGCAGGGGGGAAUAUUGCACAAGGGGCGGAAGCCUGAUGCAGCAACGCCGCGUGCGGGAUGACGGCCUUCGGGUUGUAAAACGCUUUCGCCUGUGACGAAGCGUGAGUGAAGGUAAUGGGUAAAGAAGCACCGGCUAAAUACGUG